UACGGGGGGGGUAAGCGUUGUUCGGAAUUACUGGGCGUAAAGGGCGCGUAGGCGGCCUUCUAAGUCGAACGUGAAAUCCCUGGGCUCAACCUGGGAACUGCAUUCGAUACUGCCGAGCUAGAGUGUGGGAGAGGGUAGUGGAAUUCCCGGUGUAGCGGUGAAAUGCGUAGAUAUCGGGAGGAACAUCAGUGGCGAAGGCGACUGCCUGGCCCAACACUGACGCUGAGGUGCGAAAGCGUGGGUAGCAAACAGGA
rnacentral:rRNA from 1 species